AGCUCAGACGGUAAAGCGUCUGCCUACAAUGCAGGAGACCCAGGUUCGAUCCCUGG
rnacentral:tRNA from 1 species